rnacentral:rRNA from 1 species
UUGAUCAUGGCUCAGGACGAACGCUGGCGGCGUGCCUAAUACAUGCAAGUAGAACGCUGAAGAGAGGAGCUUGCUCUUCUUGGAUGAGUUGCGAACGGGUGAGUAACGCGUAGGUAACCUGCCUUGUAGCGGGGGAUAACUAUUGGAAACGAUAGCUAAUACCGCAUAACAAUAGGUGACACAUGUCAUUUAUUUGAAAGGGGCAAUUGCUCCACUACAAGAUGGACCUGCGUUGUAUUAGCUAGUAGGUGAGGUAACGGCUCACCUAGGCGACGAUACAUAGCCGACCUGAGAGGGUGAUCGGCCAUACUGGGACUGAGACACGGCCCAGACUCCUACGGGAGGCAGCAGUAGGGAAUCUUCGGCAAUGGGGGCAACCCUGACCGAGCAACGCCGCGUGAGUGAAGAAGGUUUUCGGAUCGUAAAGCUCUGUUGUAAGUCAAGAACGAGUGUGAGAGUGGAAAGUUCACACUGUGACGGUAGCUUACCAGAAAGGGACGGCUAACUACGUGCCAGCAGCCGCGGUAAUACGUAGGUCCCGAGCGUUGUCCGGAUUUAUUGGGCGUAAAGCGAGCGCAGGCGGUUUGAUAAGUCUGAAGUUAAAGGCUGUGGCUCAACCAUAGUUCGCUUUGGAAACUGUCAAACUUGAGUGCAGAAGGGGGGAGUGGAAUUCCAUGUGUAGCGGUGAAAUGCGUAGAUAUAUGGAGGAACACCGGUGGCGAAAGCGGCUCUCUGGUCUGUAACUGACGCUGAGGCUCGAAAGCGUGGGGAGCGAACAGGAUUAGAUACCCUGGUAGUCCACGCCGUAAACGAUGAGUGCUAGGUGUUGGAUCCUUUCCGGGAUUCAGUGCCGCAGCUAACGCACUAAGCACUCCGCCUGGGGAGUACGACCGCAAGGUUGAAACUCAAAGGAAUUGACGGGGGCCCGCACAAGCGGUGGAGCAUGUGGUUUAAUUCGAAGCAACGCGAAGAACCUUACCAGGUCUUGACAUCCCGAUGCUAUUUCUAGAGAUAGAAAGUUACUUCGGUACAUCGGUGACAGGUGGUGCAUGGUUGUCGUCAGCUCGUGUCGUGAGAUGUUGGGUUAAGUCCCGCAACGAGCGCAACCCCUAUUGUUAGUUGCCAUCAUUCAGUUGGGCACUCUAGCGAGACUGCCGGUAAUAAACCGGAGGAAGGUGGGGAUGACGUCAAAUCAUCAUGCCCCUUAUGACCUGGGCUACACACGUGCUACAAUGGUUGGUACAACGAGUUGCGAGUCGGUGACGGCAAGCUAAUCUCUUAAAGCCAAUCUCAGUUCGGAUUGUAGGCUGCAACUCGCCUACAUGAAGUCGGAAUCGCUAGUAAUCGCGGAUCAGCACGCCGCGGUGAAAUACGUUCCCGGGCCUUGCACACACCGCCCGUCAA